AGAGGGUUGUGAGCCACCAUGUGGUUGCUGGGAAUUGAACUCAGGACCUCUGGAAGAGCAGCCAGUGCUCUUAACCUCUGAGCCAUCCUUUUAGGCCCCUAAUGAAGCAUUUUUGAAAGUGAAUGUAUUGUACAUUGUAGAGUAGUCAGCAGCAGAAGCCCACCUGGAUCCUAAUAUUCCAGGUUCCUACAGGCUGUGGUUUAGCUCUGAUCUUACGUGCUCCCUCCACAAGGUUUUCUGGGCGUGUGUCUGUAUUUACCACAGUGCUCUCUAACUACUGAUUCCAAUGUAGCUUCUUGCUGUGUGUUUCUCCUUUUACAUACUCUUAAGCCUACACUGCUUUGCACCCUUCUCACGUCCAGAGACUGACCCUUCAGUCACCUCAGGAGGAGAGAAAAAUCCUUUUGCCAGCUCAGCAAUGAGCAGAGAUCUUCCUAUUGUUUCUUUGUUUUCUAGCUGGGGAAUCUGGUCUUCAACCCUGCUGCUCCACCCUGGCUACUGGAGUAAAAUCAGAACUAGUGACACACGGCGCCAUAUUCCUUGAGCCUCUGAGUAGCAACAGCAGGAAACCGCAGCCAGUGAGAGAAUCAUGGAGUGAAUAGCUGCUAUUCUACGUGCAGUUGCCAUGCUAAGCUAUAGCGCUGGGAAGGCUCUGUCUGUGAGAGAGAAGCAUGCCACUCGAUUGCAGCAUGAACUAAGAUGUCAUGCAGAGAAGAGUGAGCGAUGACUCCGGGGGUGGGAGAAAGUGGGACAGAGGUUGAGAAGUGAAGUAUCCGACAUUUGUAUUUCCCAGAGGUUUUUCUUCAGAAGAAAAUAUGGAAGGCAAGAAUUUUCUUGCGGGUAUUUCCUGCCUGUAACAAAUAGGAUUUUUGGAUCUUCUGUGGGCUCUAAUGUAAGAUCAACAAUACGAGUGACAGCUGAUGCUGGCCAAGUUGUGGAGCAAGGGGAACAGUGCUUUGCUGAUGGGAGAAAACUACUUCAGCCACUAUGGAGAUCAAUAUGGCAGCUUCUCAGAAAAUUAGGAAUCAACCUACCUCAAGACCCAGCAAUACCACUCUUGGGCUUAUAUCCUAAGAAUGCUUCAUCCUACCACAAGGACCCUUGCUCAGUCAUGUUCA